ensembl:lncRNA
AUGUCCCCAAUGGUGGCAGUUGGUCUAUGCUGUUGGCUGGAAUCUCAGGUGAGGCCGUCAUUUGGUGCACUCUGCUUCUCCUCCAUGUGGCCUCUCCAGGCACUUGCACAAGCUCUUUUGAUGUGGCUUUUUAGAGCAGUCAGAGCAAGAUCCUGCCCUGAGGAGUGUAAGAGAGCAACCGCAGAAGGAGAGACUCUGUUGCAGAAGGAUCUGGGAAAAGUGCUGUUCUAUUUCCUCUGGGACUCAGGAGUCAUCACUCUCUCUGGCCUCCAACUUCCCACUGGACUGAACUACCUUCUUGGUUUCGUUGUUUUCACCAUCAACACUGGGUGCCCAACUUCCAUCAGAGUUCCAUUUCACGCUGAAUCCAGCAAUAUUGAUGGACCUUCUUUCACAUCACCUCUUCCCUUUUCCUUCCUACCCCCCAAAAACACUCAGAUUCUGGACCCUAUUUCACAACUAGACCCCUUUUGCCUAUGUACCCUAACUCCUCACUUGACUCCACACUUCUGAAGAGACCUUUCCCUCUUCAGCCAUCUAUAUUUCAAAGGCUGACUAUAUAGUUAAAGCUGCAAGCCCCUUGGAGGAAACUCUUAAGCAGAUCAAGGAGAAGAAAAAUUUCAUCUCCUGCAUGCUUACCUGUGGGUGAAGAGGGCCAGAUGGCCAAGUAGUCAUCCCCCUAAUGUUUUGUUCAUUGGCUCAGGCUGGGGAGGGGAUCAAACAGGACAAGAAUCUAUCACCAACUUAAGAGAGAGAAGAUCCUAAGUACCAUAGGAAACCCUCAGCUAGAGAAAAGCAAAAAGGGAACGCAGAAUUGGAGACCUCAAAGAAAACAGGACUAGACAUGUGUUCCAGUGGUUUUAUCCACUGAAUAGAAGACAGAUUCAUGGCACAAAACCAAGGCACUGUCAACUUCUGUGCAGAGCUCAGAUUCACUAGAAAUCAGAACUGCAUCUAUGUGCAAAUGGGAUAUUGAAACUCAGAAGAAAAGUCAGCCACUGGCUAGAUCCUAAAGAAAAACUGAGAUUAGGUACAGAACUAAUAAAGGAAAGAAAGUCUGCCUGAGUAACUCAAGGCCCAGGCUGAGUUCAAAGAGAUAUUUUCCUGUGAUUACAAAGAUCCCUACAUCAGUGUGGAAAAAAGGAUGAGGAACACAGCCCGACCCCUUCAAGUAGACUCUUACAUUGCUAAAUGCUCUAAACAAUAGUCAAGUCACAGAAUCAUAAAACUCAUGAAAACUGUGAGCUUCCAGAAUGAGCUACUGUGUUUGAACCUUGUCAGGGAGCCUGGACCAAGGAUGCCAGGUCCAACAGACCAUUCUCAUACCUGCUCCAGAAUCUGUCUCUGGGGGAGGAUAUUUCUUCUAGUCAAUCAUAAAGUCCUUCUCUAUUACCUUUCUGUUGCCUGCAAAAUUUCUCUCAAAUGUUUCUAUACAAUCAGAGAAAAUUAGCUGGUUCUCUCACUACUGAAGAGAUUGUGCUUAGUUUUUCAUAUUCUCAAAUAUAUUUACUCUAAAAGAAGAAUGGUGUCCUUUGUCUCUGCGGAAUUUGUGACAUUUAGAGUAUCCCAAGAGAAUUCUAACAUGUAUACUGUCAUGUAAGAAUUGAAUCGCCAGUCCNNNNNNNNNNNNNNNNNNNNNNNNNNNNNNNNNNNNNNNNNNNNNNNNNNNNNNNNNNNNNNNNNNNNNNNNNNNNNNNNNNNNNNNNNNNNNNNNNNNNNNNNNNNNNNNNNAUUAAAGAUUUUAAAAUUUAAAAAAAAAAUAAAAAAUUAAAAAAAAAAUAGAGUAUCCCAAGAACUGGAGCUUAGAGAAAAGCAAGCAGUCAGUUUUUCUCUCUGAGAGCUGGCUUAACUUCUUGAAGCUGAUGAGAGUUAGGUAGGGCCAGUGAUGGUGGCAUGGUACCCACUACCGUCUCAAGUUGCUCCAUUUACCUCUCUGAAGACACCCUGCUUAAUACUUAUUACAAUACAACCUUUAUAAAAAAAAUUCAGAAGCUUUGAAAAAUGAGAAAACCCAUUAAUUCCAUGCCCAAGAGGUGGACUUAGCUCUCCCCCUGUUCCAUCAUUAUCUUGAACUGUAUACUACCAUGGUUGGAAUGGCUGGGGUUACACAGGCAUCAAAAAGGGCCAACAUUUCCUACAGAACCUCCAGGAAUAAUAAGCAACAAACUUCACAUGCUCCCCAAAUGGAAAUGGGAGUUUGGGAGUCCUAAGUUUAGAAUGGUAAGGAGCAAUUCUCCAUGACCAUGAAUACUUGAGUGGAGAAAAGCUUCCACCUGUACUCCCAGAGCUCCUUACAUUCCUGAUGUAGGCUACAGAUUCCCUGGAGGCUCAGAGGUUAAAGAAUCUGCCCUCAAUGUGGGAGACCUGGGUUUAAUCUCCAGGUCAGGAAGAUGCCCUGGAGAAGGGAAUGGCUACCCACUCCANNNNNNNNNNNNNNNNNNNNCCAUGGACAGAGGAGCCUGACAGGCUACAGUCCAUGAGGUCACAAAGAGUCAGACAUGACUGAGCGAUUAAGCACAUACACACACAGGUUGGGAAAAUAAGCAUUGCUCUCCACUUAAGUGAUCUUAAAAUGCACAGUGGACCACAAAUUACCCUUUCCUCUCUCCAUGCAACAGGCAAUGAAGCAACAGGAAACACAGAACCUCUAGCUGUUUCUUAGUGAGUGGAAGAUCAGAGGAAAGUAGAGGGUUCAGUUCAGUUCAGUCGCUCAGUUGAGUCCGACUCUUUGUGACCCCAUG